rnacentral:rRNA from 1 species
GAUGAACGCUGGCGGCGUGCCUAAUACAUGCAAGUCGAGCGAACAGAUGAGGAGCUUGCUCCUCUGACGUUAGCGGCGGACGGGUGAGUAACACGUGGAUAACCUACCUAUAAGACUGGGAUAACUUCGGGAAACCGGAGCUAAUACCGGAUAAUAUAUUGAACCGCAUGGUUCAAUAGUGAAAGACGGUUUUGCUGUCACUUAUAGAUGGAUCCGCGCCGCAUUAGCUAGUUGGUAAGGUAACGGCUUACCAAGGCGACGAUGCGUAGCCGACCUGAGAGGGUGAUCGGCCACACUGGAACUGAGACACGGUCCAGACUCCUACGGGAGGCAGCAGUAGGGAAUCUUCCGCAAUGGGCGAAAGCCUGACGGAGCAACGCCGCGUGAGUGAUGAAGGUCUUCGGAUCGUAAAACUCUGUUAUUAGGGAAGAACAAACGUGUAAGUAACUAUGCACGUCUUGACGGUACCUAAUCAGAAAGCCACGGCUAACUACGU